GAGAAGAAGAAAGGUGUCCGAUUCAGGUUGUUCGCCCAAAGGAAUGCCGGACGGGGCUAUGAUAUUAAAGAAAUUUUUAUUGUUGAAUGAGUAAAGUUAGCUGCAAUGCCCUAUAGCACCCGUAAAUGACAUCUAUAUAUAACCUCUCUUUUUUCUUCUUUCUUUCAUUUUCUCAUCCCUUUUCUUUUCUCUUAUUUCUUUUUACUAUAACAAAUCAUUGUUCUCGCAGAGAAUAUCUCUCUCUAAAACUUUCUAUCUCAAAAAUUCUCUGAAAUUUUCAGUACCCACACUUGGGGUUGGCACUUAGGGAGUGGCUUUCGAUGGCUUUAGCCACUACAAGCUCGUCUUGGUGGUUUUCCGUCUCCGUUGGAACCUUGUUCUGCGUAUUUCCUGUGGGAUGCUGCCUAAGGGCGAUUGUAGGAGGGGGGAGGAAAGACAGUUGGGUCUUUGGCAUCUAUGGUUGCAUCACUAGUUUGCUCUUCACCCAUGGAUGAAGGGCUUUACGCUGCUGGAGUGAGCUGUAUGCUUGUGUUGAGCGGUGUACAAGUUCUUCUGAUGUAUUGGUUUUCAGAUCGGAAAAUAUUCAACUGUGGAUGAAGGGGAGUUAUCCUUUAUCUUUCUAGUCUGAUUAGCUUGUCCCUCAUCGGAUUACUGGUGGUGGCGGUAAAACCAGUAUAGAUGGAAGAGGGCUCCAGUGCUCAGCUAUCACCAUCUCAAGGACUAUUAGAUUCUUUUCUUCCUCAUAUAGGCCUUUGAGCCGUGUUAUUUCAGGGCUUUUGGCCCAUCUGUUUAAUGGGUUUCUUCCUAUUUAUUUACCCAUCUAGAGAUUUCAGGCUGUAGGCCCUUUAGUGCGUAUGAUAUUCAAUUUAGAGCUCUGUGUGUAUCAGUUGAACUCUGUAUUUUAUGGGGCCUUUUGGCCAAAUUAAUGCUAAUGUUUUUUUUCUUU